UACGUAGGGUGCGAGCGUUGUCCGGAAUUAUUGGGCGUAAAGAGCUCGUAGGCGGUGUGUCGCGUCGGCCGUGAAAACCUGCAGCUUAACUGUGGGCUUGCGGUCGAUACGGGCAUCACUGGAGUUCGGCAGGGGAGACUGGAAUUCCCGGUGUAGAGGUGAAAUUCGUAGAUAUCGGGAGGAACACCAGCGGCGAAGGCGGCCUUCUGGACGGUGACUGACACUGAGACGCGAAAGCGUGGGGAGCAAACAGG
rnacentral:rRNA from 1 species